AUCCAGCUGACGAGUCCCAAAUGGGACGAAAUGCGUUUCUUGGAU
rnacentral:hammerhead_ribozyme from 1 species